rnacentral:rRNA from 1 species
AUGGUGCCCGAUGGCGGCGUCAAGGACCAGGAGGCCCCGAGCUCCUCGUCUCCACCCGCUGCGGCGAUAGCGAGGGCGGCACGGCCGCCUAGGCCAGUGAGCUUUAAGACCAAGAGGAUCGCGUGGCACCCGCUCAAGCACCGCCGGUUCCGCGUGGGGGCCACCAAGACGAUGUUCGAGGCCUCAUCGUCCGCUCGGCUGGUAAGGGGAGCCAGAGAGGUGGGGGAGGCUACCACGGCGGCGGCGGCCAUGGGGCCGCCCAAGGAGGACGAGAAGGGGCACAUAUGCGGCAGCUGGAAGAGUGAGGAUGGAAGUUUGUAUUGUGGAUAUUCUAGCUUGAGAGGGAGAAGAGCAAGUAUGGAAGACUUCUACGACAUGAGAUCAUCUAAAAUGGAUGCUAAAAACAUAAAACUUUUUGGAGUAUUUGAUGGACAUGGUGGUUCAUGUGCCGCGGAGUAUCUCAAGGAGCACUUAUUUGAAAAUCUCCUGAAACACCCCUCUUUCAUUACUGAUACAAAAACAGCAAUAAGUGAGAGCUAUACGAAGACUGACUCAGAUUUCUUGGAUGCUGAAACCAAUAUUCAUAGAGAGGAUGGGUCAACUGCAUCAACAGCAAUUUUUGUUGGCAACCACCUCUAUGUGGCAAAUGUUGGCGAUUCACGGGCUGUAAUAUCGAAGGCGGGCAAAGCUAUUGCGCUCUCUGAUGAUCACAAACCAGACAGAAGUGACGAGCGGGAACGGAUUGAAAAUGCUGGAGGAGUUGUUACAUUUAGUGGAACAUGGAGGGUAGGUGGUGUACUUGCCAUGUCUCGGGCAUUUGGAGAUCGUUUGUUGAAGCCGUUUGUUGUUGCAGAGCCUGAGAUUCAGGAACAAGAAAUAGAUGAUGAAUUGGAGUAUCUGAUUUUGGCUAGUGAUGGCCUGUGGGACGUGGUGUCAAAUGAGCACGCUGUUGCAUUUGUGAAGGGGGAGGUGGGUCCUGAGGCUGCGGCCCGAAAGCUGACAGAGAUUGCUUUUGCGCGUGGGAGCACGGACAAUAUAACAUGCAUAGUUGUAGAGUUUCACCGUGCCAAAUAA